rnacentral:rRNA from 1 species
UGGGGAAUAUUGGACAAUGGGGGGAACCCUGAUCCAGCCAUGCCGCGUGCAGGAAGAAGGCCUUCGGGUUGUAAACUGCUUUUGUACGGAACGAAAAGGCUCUGGUUAAUACCUGGGGCACAUGACGGUACCGUAAGAAUAAGCACCGGCUAACUACGUGCCAGCAGCCGCGGUAAUACGUAGGGUGCAAGCGUUAAUCGGAAUUACUGGGCGUAAAGCGUGCGCAGGCGGUGCUGUAAGACAGGCGUGAAAUCCCCGGGCUUAACCUGGGAAUGGCGCGUGUGACUGCAGUGCUGGAGUGUGGCAGAGGGGGAUGGAAUUCCGCGUGUAGCAGUCAAAUGCGUAGAUAUGCGGAGGAACACCGAUGGCGAAGGCAAUCCCCUGGGCCUGCACUGACGCUCAUGCACGAAAGCGUGGGGAGCAAACA